UACGUAGGCAGCAAGCGUUGUUCGGAAUUACUGGGCGUAAAGAGUGUGUAGGCGGUGCUCUAAGUUCGGUGUGAAAUCUCCCGGCUCAACCGAGGAACUGCGCCCGAGACUGCCUUUCUUGAGUCCCGGAGAGGAAGGUGGAAUUCCCGGUGUAGCGGUGAAAUGUGUAGAGAUCGGGAGGAACACCGGUGGCGAAGGCGGCCCUCUGGACGGUGACUGACGCUGAGGCGCGAAAGCGUGGGGAGCAAACGGG
rnacentral:rRNA from 1 species